rfam:Schistosoma mansoni, Puerto Rico, WGS project CABG01000000 data, contig: 0174
AGCUUUCUGAAUUCGUGCUGAGAUUUCGUCAGACACUAACCCGUGAGGGCUGACCAGACAUCCAAGAUAAGUGAAGUU